UCUUCAUAUUAUCUUAUACAGAUGGCAUACUAAACGUUCAAGUAAUGAGGAAUCAAUGCAGCAUAUGCUGGCUACUGGAAGGGCUAAGACAAAAGAUGGUACUCUUAUUAUAUCGGCAGUCAUAAAAGCCGAUAAUGGUGCUUUUUUUUGCACUGUGACAAACUCAGAGGGAACCGAAACAUUCAAAGUAGAUUUAUCUGUAACAUCUGCAUUAAGCGCUAGCAUACAGCCCGCCGUACAGACAGUUAGUCUGGGUCAUACUGCUGAUUUAGUUUGCAGUGUAUCUGGAUUUCCCACACAAAAUAUUAUUUGGAUGAAAGAUGGCGGUACCUUGCGCACAGGUUCUCGUGUACGACUCUUAUCCAAUGAGCAUAUUCAUAUCUCGUCCAUCGUAAAAGAAGAUAAGGGAAUGUAUCAAUGUAUUCUUAAAAACGAUUUUGAAUCUAUUCAGAGCUCCGCUGAAUUAAGAUUAGGAGAAGUUGCCCCUCAGUUGCUCUACAAGUUCAUUGAACAAACUAUGCAGCCAGGUCCAUCCGUAUCAUUAAAGUGCAGCGCUAGUGGAAAUCCGACACCAAAAAUUGUGUGGUAUGUGGAUGGGUUUCCUUUGCCUAACAAUGAUAGACUCAUGAUCGGUCAAUAUGUGACCAUGUUUGGGGAUGUCAUAUCUCACGUAAAUAUUACGGCAGUAAAGUCAGAAGACGGAGGAGAUUAUGAAUGUAGAGCUCUCUCAAAAGCUGGAGUGGCAUCGCACUCUGCUCGCCUUAACAUCUAUGGAAUGCCGUACAUACGUCAUAUGUCAAAGCUGUCGGCGGUGGCUGGUAAGGUUUUUACACUCAAGUGUCCUAUAGCUGGAUAUCCCAUCGACACAGUUAACAUUGAAAAAGACGGCGUUAGGUUACCCAUAAACAUAUGACAGCGUAUGCAAAACGGAACCUUAACUAUUGAAAACGUGCAACGCGGUGCAGAUCAGGGCACCUACACUUGCAUUGCUCGGAAUAAGCACAAUUACACUUCUCAGCGGUCAGUUGAAGUUCAAGUUUUAGUUCCUCCUCGUAUAUCACCUUUUGCUUUUGAGGAAGAAAUAACUGAAGGUAUGCGGACACAGAUUAUGUGCUCCAGUAGUCAAGGGGACCAACCGUUUAACAUCACAUGGCUAAGAAAUGAUGUGCCCAUCAUUAGUAAUACAGUAGCUGUCAAGAAAGAUGAGAACGUAAUUGAGCCUAAAGAUCAUACCACAGAUAAAAGGAAUACAUUUAUUUCUUCGGAUCCGUCACUAACCAUAAAUCAAUAUGCACAAUUUUCCAGCAUAUUAUCGAUACAUAACGUUUCUUCACGACACAACGGUAACUACACUUGUAAUGUAGCCAACCAUGCUGGUGCUGUACAAUUUACUGCUGUUCUCUCGGUAUCCGGUAAAUCAAGCGUAACUAUUUCGUUCUAUUAAGAUGCUUAGAAGCACAAUAAAAAUAAAUUAAAUUAAAGUAAUGUUUACUCUGCACAAAAGUACACAAAGUCCACAGUAGAAAUUCACCUAAUAUGUAUAUGCAUAUAAAUAAAAAAGACCAUAGGAAUUAUCUAGCACAUUUUUUUGAAAUAUAUUGAAAUAUCAUCUACAUUUCCUUAUUGUAGGAAGAGUAGGUCUCAUACAUGAAUACAUACUUAUAUAAAUUACAAAUUAAUAACUCCAAAAUCCGCGUUUCGGUGAAUUUGCGCACUUCCAUAAAUUGGCAUUCUCCUCGCCUAUAUCCAAAUUGAUGGGUUUAUAACAGAAAUGUAUUGCCUGUCAUUUAAUUUUUUAAUCGUUACCAUACAAUGGCUAUACUGAAAUAAUAUCAAGCUAAAUUUGACGUUUUCUACCAUGUUAAAUGUUUCUUUUUUCGGGUAUGUUGCAAAUUGUAAGUAUGGUCAUAAGAUCUUUUCAGCCUGGGCUUAACAAGCUUUUUGUCUAGAGCAAAGUACAAAAUCACUAUCGCACAGUGUUAUUAUUAUAAAGUUCUUGGGAUAUUUAUUGGUGGUAAUAACUAUUUUUAAGCUAUAUUAAUAAUGCCACUAAAGAAAAUUAAGGAAAUAAAAUGCAAAUUUUAGAGUUUGAGUGUGUGAGCUUUAAUUUUGGAUUACUCAAAGAACAAAAUGUCUUUUAAUUGUUGUUCUUUUGCUGUUCGUAAGGAAAAAAAUAAAGAAAGAAACGAAAUCAAUGUGUCAAUAAACGGCUAUGCCAUUUCAUUCAUUUCUUUUUGUGCACUGUUUCAUUCUAACUCAUACCACUGAAUUCUGAAUUCUAUGAAGCUGGCACUCACUUAAUAAAAUUUAAUUUGAAUGAAUUAUAGUGGAAUUGGUUGUGAGUGAAGCCACGGAGAUCUGCAUAGUAUGUACAUAUCAAAAUUUAAUUUUUUCACUCAAAAAUAAAACUCAAUACAGGUAUAAUGAAAAUAUUAUAGGGGGCUCAGAAAAGAUUGAUACAUACAAUUGCUAAGGGUUUAAUUAAGCCAUUUUUAAAAUGAUUCAAUUAACACUAAUGUCAGGGCAGAAAAGGAACACACAUUUAAAUAAAAAUAUAAACCACUUAAAAAACAAGACUCCGACCAAUAAAAGGGAUGAAGGUCAAGUAUGAAAUGUCAAAUGUAUGGUCCUCCACUUUAUUUAAUGAUCCCCGAAAAGGGAGAUACUGUGUGCCCCUUCCCAUAAGCCUCUUGUAGCUAUAUGAGGGGAUGCAUUUGUACAAUAAAAUCAGUGACUAACUAGACUCCAGCCAGACUUCACGUCUUGAACCAAAAAACCUGCGUUCUUUUUUGCACUUUAUAAAACUUUAGUGAAUCAAACGUAUUGGGCGAACUGAGUAUCGCAUAUCAAUAAAACCAAGCUGUAACCAGAGGACUACGUCGCAUUUUGAUUACAUUCUGAUCAGUAGGUAUUUAUUUUCCAAUGCGCUAUUUGAAGUUUCUCCGUAGCAUUGUCACUGUUCAUUUUGUCAGUAACACCAACAUAAAUCGAAUUGAACAACUCGUUAAGGAGAGAACAUGUAUUUGUGUUCUGUAGAACCUUUGAGUUUUGAGAUCGGUUCAACUUGUAUGUCAUUAAGUCAUAGAUAUUAUUUAUAUCAUAAAUAUCAUUUACACGAAUGGUCGUUAGGGGCAACUAAUAAACUAAACUUAAAUUUUAGCUUAAGCACUUGUUUAA
rnacentral:misc_RNA from 15 species